rnacentral:rRNA from 1 species
UGACAUCCGAAUCGGAGAGACCCUUAGUUNAUUCGGGAACCGUGAGACAGGUNCUGCAUGGNAGUCGUCAGCUCGUGUUGUGAAAUGUUGGGUUAAGUCCCGCAACGAGCGCAACCCAUUAUCCUUUGUUGCCAGCGAUCCGGCCGGGAACUCAAAGGAGACUGCCAGUGAUAAACUGGAGGAAGGUGGGGAUGACGUCAAGUCAUCAUGGCCCUUACGACUAGGGCUACACACUUGCACAAGGGCUAAAGAGAAGCG